UACGGAGGGUGCGAGCGUUGUCCGGAAUCACUGGGCGUAAAGGGCGCGUAGGCGGCCUGAUAAGUAGGGGGUGAAAUCCUGCGGCUUAACCGCAGGGCUGCCUUCUAAACUGUCAGGCUGGAGCACAGUAGAGGCAGGUGGAAUUCCCGGUGUAGCGGUGGAAUGCGUAGAGAUCGGAAAGAACACCAACGGCGAAAGCACUCUGCUGGGCCGACACUGACACUGAGAGACGAAAGCUAGGGGAGCGAAUGGG
rnacentral:rRNA from 1 species